GUUUUGGAGCGUUACAUGAUUGACACUUCGUUUUGUUUGUUUAUGGUUUCAUCAGUUUGACAGAUGUCAGAUCAGAUGUUCAAUUUUGAUUUCGAUUUUAGGGAGUGAAAAAUUUAUAACUUUUAAAAUGUUGACCAGAAAUUGUUUAAAAAUUACCAGUGCCUCAUCAAGAGCACUUUUAUUCAGAAAGUACUUGCUUCACGAAAAACGUUUGCCCUCGCAAUGCCCGUGCCAAUGCAACUUUAGCAAAGCGAGGUCUAACGAUACUAUGGGAUUAACCAAAGUUGCCAAUACUACUAAAGAUGUAUGGGUUUCUUCAGGGGCAGGAGAAAAAGUAAAUUCUGUGACAUCACAAAUUUUGGGAUCAUCAGAGGAGUUAUUAGAGAAAAUGAUAGCUGGUCUGUCAUCGGAUAUUCAUCAGAAAAACAGAGUAUAUAAAAAUGAUUUAGUUAGAGUGAUUGGGAAAGUGAAAGAGUUAAAUUUCUCUAGUAAAAGGCAGGGGCUCUUAUUACUGCAGUGUUGUACUGAGCUGCUCCCCGAUGAGACGGCUGCGACUAGACUAGCGCUAGCUGAGGAGGUGUGGGCUGCAAUCAAGCCUCACACCAAGUUCACAGUGGAGCACUACAAUGAGCUCCUCCGUGUAUAUAUAGCCAAUGGAAAAAGAGUCAAAGCAAGCACCUACAUUGACUCCAUGGCCCCAGUGGUACCAAAUAAUACCACUUAUGAAUUAAUACUGAGAGCACUUGGAGAGACCGGGGAUAUUAAUCAAGCUACUGAAGUAUUAGCAAAUAUGAAAAAUCAAGGUUUGCCAGCCACUGAGAGUGUUUUCAACUCUCUAAUAUUGUGUCAGGGGAAAACUGAAAACUACGAAAACGUCAAAGAAGUCCUAACAAUGAUGAAAUCCCUCAAAUUCGAACACACAAUAGAUACUCACACAUCCAUAGCUCGAGCACUGGCGUUCAACAAGAAAGGAGACCUUUUGCUGAAAGAGAUGGAGGUGGCCAGGCAGAACGGACAUCAGUUUGAGGAGAGUCACGUUAUGGAGAUAGUUAAGAGUUUGGCGGCUGGGAAGAUGUAUAAAUUGGUGCCAAAGGUUCUCAGAUAUCUACCAGAAACAACAUUAAAAACCCCAUCAAUAUCUCCAUACAUGCAAAGCGUUUGUACAUUACUAGUAUACCAGAACCACCCUUUAGUGGCCUUGGAGUUUUAUAAAAGUCUUCCGCUGCCAUCAUUUGGACCAAAGGAUGACCAAGGAUUGCACGGACGAAGCUUGGUUAGGGAUUGUGUGAAAGCUGGGAUCCCGUCGGGAGUGCUAAGCAUAGUGACGGACCAGCUAAUGACAUCCGGUCGAAACCCUAUAGCGAUACAAAACGCGGCAGAAUGCGCUCUCCAACAGGGCAAGGCAGUACUGGCCAUAGAUCUCUUCGACCGCAUGAAGCAGCAAGGAUUGCCGUUACGCCCUCACUACUUCUGGCCGAUCUUGCUUCGAGCAUCCAAAAAUACAGGCGAAAAAGGCAUAAUGAACACCCUAACAAAAAUGAUCGAAAUGGACGUAAAACCCGACUACGAGACCAUAUCAAACUACACGCUACCCUACGUCAGUUUCACCUCCGCACAGAAUCUGAUGAAAAAGUUCCAAGAUGCUGGGGUUUCUGUCACAACUGUUCUAACCCCAAUGAUGGAAUACUUGUUGAAUACUGGGCAAGUUAGAGCUGCGAGCGAGAUAUGUGAACUCUUCAAAGGCAAAGUGGACAUGGAAAUCAUCCUCAAACCCCUCAUCAAAGGCUACCUCAUCAGCCUGGACCUCAAGUCCUCCCUGCACAUCCUGGAGGACGGCGUGCAGAAGGCCUCGGACAGGAGUAAGGACUGGACGGGCAGGUUCUUGUGCUCGUUCAUGAAGAAAAAGAACGAGUUUGGUGAUGUUUUCAAGUUUGUCAAGGAACUAAGAAAAACUCCCUUAAGAAUAUCGACCUCAGCUGCAGAUUUCUGCCUCACCCACGUACCGGAAUCUGUAAAAGAAGAUAAGGUCAACCAGUUUCGAGAAGCCAUCAUAGCUAUCACGGAUGAGAGGAUGAUAGAUGAGGGGGAACUGUUUGCACACCAGUUGCCGCAUCCGAAAAACAUGAACGAAGAAGCCCUAAAAGCGCACCUAAACGAAUUGGAAGCUAAAGGCAUGAACACACGGGGCGUUCUGAGGCGGCUACUUCAGCAGUAUUGUAAAGAAGGGAACUUGACAGCCGCGAGGGAGAUCAUAGACAAAUGUCAGAAAGAAGGGAUAUUCCUCUCAGCCGGCAUGAAAGCCGCCAUCUUCGACCUCCACGUGAGGUCCGGCGAGCUGCAGCUGGCCGGGCUCGCGCUGGCCGACCUCAACAAGUCGUCGCCCAACUUCACCUUGGACGAGUUCAAGGUCAUCGACUUCGCGACCAUGUGGGUGUGCAGGAAAGAGAUGGAGAAGGCCUUUACUGUUAUAGAAGAACAGAGUAAGAAGAGACGAGUAAUGGGUGGUCGGGGUAUAGCCAUGAACUGCUUCCGUCUCCUCGACGCCGCCGCGGCCCACGGGACCCUGGAACACGUCAAGCGCAUGCUGGACCUGCUGACCAGACUGCGGUACUGCCAACCGACUAAUGCCAUGCUAGGACCUGUCGUCCGAUGGCAUCUCAACAACAACGACCUCCGCGAAGCUGUCAAUGAAUUCAGCCGCCUCGCCCAAAAAUACAACAAGACCCCUCUCAAACACGAACUGCUUUGCAAAAUACUGGAAACCAUUAGUGAUGGUAGCGAAGAUAGGUUCGUUGUCAAUGCGAAUAGUGGUGGGUGGGCGAAUAAGCUCGCUCACACCGUACUCGAUGUGAACAAGAGGAUACACGGAGCCAGCGAUGUACAGGUAAACAAAUACAUACCAGAAACGUCCAAAAAUACCACAAGAUCCACUUCAAACACAAGCUAUUAUACUAUUCUCUCUCUAUCUUUCGCUCUGUCUCUCUCUCUCUCCGACUCUCAAGACUGCAAGAUACUAAGAUACUAUAAGUGACGGCAGCGAAGAUAAGUCCAUAGGUAGUGAACGCGAAUAGUAGUGGGUGGGCGAAUAAGCUCGCUCACACCGUGCUCGAUGUGAACAAGAGGAUACACGGAGCCAGCGAUGUUCAGGUAAACAAUACAUACCAGAAACGUCCAAAAAUACCACAAGAUCCACUUCAAACACAAGCUAUUAUACUAUUCUCUCUCUGUCUUUCGCUCUGUCUCUCUCUCCGACUCUCAAGACUGCAAGAUACUAAGAUACUAUAAGUGACGGCAGCGAAGAUAAGUCCAUAGGUAGUGAACGCGAAUAGUAGUAGGUGGGCGAAUAAGCUCGCUCACACCGUACUCGAUGUGAACAAGAGGAUACACGGAGCCAGCGAUGUACAGGUAAACAAUACAUACCAGAAACAUCCAAAAAUACCACAAGUUCCACUUCAAACACAAGCUAUUAUACUAUUCUCUCUCUGUCUUUCGCUCUGUCUCUCUCUCCGACUCUCAAGACUGCAAGAUACUAAGAUACUAUAAGUGACGGCAGCGAAGAUAAGUCCGUAGGUAGUGAACGCGAAUAGUAGUGGGUGGGCGAAUAAGCUCGCUCACACCGUGCUCGAUGUGAACAAGAGGAUACACGGAGCCAGCGAUGUACAGCUAACCCUAAUCGCCGCGCUAGCCGAAGUGAGCUACAAGAAAACGCUCCGCAAAAUGUUCCUCGACCCCAACGUCAGGUUCCAUCCCGACGCCCUCCUUCGGCGCUGCGAACGAUUCGCAGAUGAGAAGAAAACUGCUGCUUUACACACUAUUGCUGAGUGCGCGAAAGACACGCGUAGAAUCAACCUGGAUGAUGUUUAUGAUCUGAUUUUGAGUGUUCAUCAACGUGAAGACGACUGGCGCUCAGCUCUCGCUCUGUGGGAGAAAAUGCAGGAAUCCGACGUGAGACCGUCACAGAAGUUCAUAAGAAACCUCUACGCUCUACUCAAAGCUAAUAAAAUAACAAUUCCGGCUCAGUUAUCUACACUUCUUGAUAGACAGGAGGCCAGCCAGUAGAAUAUGAGUUUUAAUAUCGCAAUUAUUUAACCUUUUCAACGCUUUUCCACACGUGUCAAGAAAUGCCAUGGACGCCAAAAAGUUAACUGGUGAAGAGCGAAUAUGAAGUUUAACUGACAGUAGGAAAGUCGCUUUGAAAACGUCCGCCAUAGCCUUUUUAAUGGUCAUUGGCGUCGCGGGCACGACAGACGAUGACCGUUUUAGUGGUCUUUGGCGUUGAAAAGGUUAAAAAGAAGUUAAAAACCGUGCAAGCAGAAAGCCAGUAUGUAGAAUUUGAAUCUUAAUUAUAUUAAAGUCCGCAUUUCCUCCAUAGCUAUUCAUGCUUCUUGACAGACAGGAAGAUAAUCAGUAGAAUUUGAGUUUAACAUUUAAAUAAAGUUCAAAAUGCAAUGCGUGAAUAUAAAUAGGUAAUAGGGGCCCAAUGUAAACCGUAAUGUAAACCAAAAGUAAUUAUGGACACGAAGUUAGUCGGAAAUAAAAGUGGCUAAGCGCGCUUUAUGUUCCAUAUGAUCUACACAUACACUUCUGCUCUCGAAAGUGACUAAGCGCGCUUCUUGUUCUAUAUGAUCUGCACACACACUUCUGCUCUCAAAAGUGGCUAACUGCGCUUUGUGUUCCAUAUGAUCUGCACACACACUUCUGCUCUCAAAAGUGGCUAACUGCGCUUUGUGUUCCAUAUGAUCUGCACACACACUUCUGCUCUCAAAAGUGGCUAACUGCGCUUUGUGUUCCAUAUGAUCUGCACACACACUUCUGCUCUCAAAAGUGGCUAACUGCGCUUUGUGUUCCAUAUGAUCUGCACACACACUUCUGCUCUCAAAAGUGGCUAACUGCGCUUUGUGUUCCAUAUGAUCUGCACACACACUUCUGCUCUCAAAAGUGGCUAACUGCGCUUUGUGUUCCAUAUGAUCUGCACACACACUUCUGCUCUCAAAAGUGGCUAAGCGCGCGUUGUGUUCCAUAUGAUCUGCACACACACUUCUGCUCUCAAAAGUGGCUAAGCGCGCGUUGUGUUCCAUAUGAUCUGCACACACACUUCUGCUCUCAAAAGUGGCUAAGCGCGCUUUGUGUCCGCUUUCCAUAUAUAUUUUCUUACAUUGACGCGCGUGUUGCUAUCUCUAUUGGAUGCGCAUAAAUUGCUGUGAAACUCGCACACUGAUAUUGAUAACCGGCAUUAUGGGCGGGACAGUUAUGCAAUGCAAUGGACAUAGCAAAAGUCGGGGAAAUGCACGAAAAUCUUUAUGGAAAGCGUCUCUUCUUUAACAAGUCUGGUCUGGUCUGGUAAGGUUUUUGGCAAGAAAAUAAUUUGCAAAUUGCGAAAUCGCUCUAUGUAUUGUAUAGUAUUUAAAUUAUUCUUAGUAGUGAAAGUGGUGAAAUUGUAAUUUUAAGUUCAGUCUGUGAUAUAAAAUAUGACUUUUGAAAUAAAAUUAAGCUAUGUAA